rnacentral:rRNA from 1 species
UGAGGAAUAUUGGUCAAUGGAGGCAACUCUGAACCAGCCAUGCCGCGUGCAGGAUGACGGUCCUAUGGAUUGUAAACUGCUUUUGUACAGGAAGAAACCUCCCUACGAGUAGGGACUUGACGGUACUGUAAGAAUAAGGAUCGGCUAACUCCGUGCCAGCAGCCGCGGUAAUACGGAGGAUCCGAGCGUUAUCCGGAAUUAUUGGGUUUAAAGGGUUCGUAGGCGGCUUUGUAAGUCAGUGGUGAAAUUUCCUAGCUUAACUAGGACACUGCCAUUGAUACUGCAGAGCUUGAAUAAUAUGGAAGUAACUAGAAUAUGUAGUGUAGCGGUGAAAUGCUUAGAUAUUACAUGGAAUACCAAUUGCGAAGGCAGGUUACUACGUAUUUAUUGACGCUGAUGA